rfam:Punica granatum cultivar Dabenzi scaffold311, whole genome shotgun sequence.
UGGGCAUGGUGAUGAUGAACUUUAAUCAUCUGAUACUCUGAUGAUUCAAUAACCUCCUACUCAUACUGA